GUCAGCUAUGUGGACUCUAGCUGCCAAAGGCGCUUCUCCUUCUGAACAGAGCGCUUUGCUCAGCCAGUGUAGACAUGGCCUGAU
ensembl:miRNA microRNA 1251